CCUUCAAUGGAGUUCUAAGCAAGAAGGCAGAUCUUACAAAAGUGAACGCACUCAUUCAGCUCCCCAGCCGGAACCUCACCCACGGCUGCUGUGAAGAUGCGAGGAAAUGAAACGCGAGGCGCUUUGCAGCUGCUGGAAAGUCAUGCAAACACAGUGGACUGUUUUGUUGUGGACUUCAGAGCAAACUCUCACAAAUCAAACCCUUCAAUGAAUGUUGCCAGCUCCAUCUUCCAAAAAGAUCCCACAUCUAACCACUUCUGUCAUCUCAGCCACUGCCACCUGGUCCAAGCCAACGACAGCCUCGGCUCUUGUCACAGCCCCUGCGGUCUCUGCCGGCCCCGCAAGCCAGAGCGCCCCGCCUCACUCGGGACAGAGCCCGGCACACUCUUCCCACGGCUACGGAACCUGUGCGAUCCGGCUGCUCCCUCUCUGCUUUCUGACCCCCUCUUUCUGACCCCCUCGUAGCACAGACCACCACGAGGAGUGUGAUGCGUGUAUUCUCCCGGUUGUAUGGCCUUUCUCUCCUGCUAACACCUAAGAGCUGUCCGUCUGUGUGGUGCCCAUCUCCUGGGCCUAGAACGGUGCACAGCACCUAGCAAGUGUUCAAUAAACACAAGAAGGAAGGGAAGGAGAGACAGAGGGGGUCAGGCAGGCAGGUGGCAAGUAGGCUGGCUGGGUUUGCCUAUGGAGUCCUCAUUUGCCCCACUGUUCCUCAUUAAAAGAAAACCUUUAGACAAAUCAAGUUUAACAGAGUUUAAUUGAGCAAAGGACAAUUUGCAAACCGUGCAACCCCCAGAACCAGAGUCGUUCAGAAUGACUCCCAGGCUGCCUCGUGGUCAGAUAACACACACAGGCAG